rnacentral:rRNA from 1 species
ACGAGACGCUAAGGCGUUGAAGCAGUGUACGUCAGACUUCCAAGAAAAGCUCGCAAUGUCAUAGAUAAAAAAUGCCUGUACCAUAACCGACACAGGUGGGUAGGUAGAGUAUACUAAGGGGCGCGAGAUAACUCUCUCUAAGGAACUCGGCAAAAUGACUCCGUAACUUCGGGAGAAGGAGUGCCUUAUUUAUAAGGUUGCAAUAACAAGAUCCAAGCAACUGUUUAUCAAAAACACAGGUCUCCGCUAAGUCGUAAGACGAUGUAUGGGGGCUGACGCCUGCCCAGUGCCAGAAGGUUAAAGAAGUUGGUUAGUGUAUGCGAAGCUGAUGACUGAAGCCCUGGUGAACGGCGGCCGUAACUAUAACGGUCCUAAGGUAGCGAAAUUCCUUGUCGGGUAAGUUCCGACCCGCACGAAAGGCGUAAUGAUUUGGAUACUGUCUCGGAGAGAGGCUCGGUGAAAUAGACUUGUCUGUGAAGAUGCGGACUACCUGCACCAGGACAGAAAGACCCUAUGAAGCUUUACUGUAACUUGAAAUUGGAAUUGGACUUUGCUUGCGCAGUAUAGGUGGGAAGCGUUGAAGAUAUUCUUGCGGGAGUAUUGGAGCUAUCAGUGAGAUACCACUCUUGUAAUGUUAGAUUUCUAACUUUGAACCAUAAUCUGGUCAAAGAACAGUUUCAGGUGGGCAGUUUGACUGGGGCGGUCGCCUCCCAAAUGGUAACGGAGGCGUACAAAGGUUUCCUCUGAACGGAUAGAAAUCGUAUCUAGAGUGUAAAGGCAUAAGGAAGCUUGACUGUGAGACCUACAAGUCGAGCAGGGACGAAAGUCGGUCUUAGUGAUCUGACGGUACUGAGUGGAAAGGCCGUCACUCAACGGAUAAAAGUUACUCUAGGAUAACAGGCUGAUCUCCCCCAAGAGUUCACUUCGACGGGGAGGUUUGGCACCUCGAUGUCGGCUCAUCGCAUCCUGGGGCGGUAGUACGUCCCAAGGGUUGGGCUGUUUGCCCAUGAAAGCGGUACGCGAGCUGGGUUCAGAACGUCGUGAGACAGUUCGGUCCAUAUCCGGUGUAGGCGUUAGAAUAUUGAGAGGAGCCUUCUUUAGUACGAGAGGACCGAGAAGGACACACCGCUGGUGUACCAGUUAUCGUGCCAACGGUAAACGCUGGGUAGCUAUGUGUGGAGUGGAUAACCGCUGAAAGCAUCUAAGUGGGAAGCCCUCCUCAAGAUGAGUAUUCC